GGGAUGUCCUGAUGUGUGUAAGGAAUGCAUUGUGUGAAUCUAUGUUUGUAUGUGUAAGGGCUGCAAGGUGAGUUUGUGUAUGUAUGGGAUGCAGUGUGUGCGUCUGUAAGGGAUGCACUGAGUGUGUGUAAGGGGUGCAUUGUGUGUUGCUGUGUGUAAGGGAUGCAUUGCUUGUGUAUGUGUGUCUGUGUGUAAUGCAUUGUGUG